CAGUCGCCGCGGUAAAACGGAGGGCGCGAGCGUUACCCGGAUUUACUGGGCGUAAAGGGCGUGUAGGCGGCCUGGGGCGUCCCAUGUGAAAGGCCACGGCUCAACCGUGGAGGAGCGUGGGAUACGCUCAGGCUAUAGGGUGGGAGAGGGUGGUGGAAUUCCCGGAGUAGCGGUGAAAUGCGCAGAUACCGGGAGGAACGCCGAUGGCGAAGGCAGCCACCUGGUCCACUUCUGACGCUGAGGCGCGAAAGCGUGGGGAGCAAACCGGAUUAGAUACCCGAGUAGUCCCUGUCUCUUAUAC
rnacentral:rRNA from 1 species